CCAAGCCUAUGAUGGUUCGUUAUCCCUGUCUGAACCUCUCACUGAGGGAGAACAGUCUGUUCUGAGGCUGGC
rnacentral:snoRNA from 1 species